CUUCGGACUGACUAAAGCGGCGGACGGGUGAGUAACGCGUAGGAAUCUACCCAGUAGUGGGGGACAACUUAGGGAAACUUAAGCUAAUACCGCAUACGCCCUGAGGGGGAAAGCGGGGGAUCUUCGGACCUCGCGCUAUUGGAAGAGCCUGCGUUAGAUUAGCUAGUUGGUGGGGUAAAGGCUCACCAAGGCGACGAUCUAUAGCUGGUCUGAGAGGAUGAUCAGCCACACUGGGACUGAGACACGGCCCAGACUCCUACGGGAGGCAGCAGUGGGGAAUAUUGCGCAAUGGGCGAAAGCCUGACGCAGCCAUGCCGCGUGUGUGAAGAAGGCCUUCGGGUUGUAAAGCACUUUCAAUUGGGAGGAAGGGUUUAAGCGUUAAUAGCGUUGAAUCUUGACGUUACCUUUAGAAGAAGCACCGGCUAACUCCGUGCCAGCAGCCGCGGUAAUACGGAGGGUGCGAGCGUUAAUCGGAAUUACUGGGCGUAAAGCGCGCGUAGGCGGUUUGUUAAGUCGGAUGUGAAAUCCCCGGGCUCAACCUGGGAACUGCACCCGAUACUGGCCGACUUGAGUGCGAGAGAGGGAGGUAGAAUUCCAUGUGUAGCGGUGAAAUGCGUAGAUUAUGGAGGAAUACCGGUGGCGAAGGCGGCCUCCUGGCUCGACACUGACGCUGAGGUGCGAAAGCGUGGGUAGCAAACAGGAUUAGAUACCCUGGUAGUCCACGCCGUAACGAUGUCUACUAGCCGUUGGGGAACUUGAUUCUUUAGUGGCGCAGCU
rnacentral:rRNA from 1 species